rnacentral:rRNA from 1 species
GACGAACGCUGGCGGCGUGCCUAAUACAUGCAAGUCGAUCGCAUUUUCUUUCACCGUAGCUUGCUACUCCGAAAGAAAAUGAGUGGCGAACGGGUGAGUAACACGUGGGUAACCUGCCCAUCAGCGGGGGAUAACACUUGGAAACAGGUGCUAAUACCGCAUAAUUCCAUUUACCGCAUGGUAGAUGGAUGAAAGGCGCUUUUGCGUCACUGAUGGAUGGACCCGCGGUGCAUUAGCUAGUUGGUGGGGUAACGGCCUACCAAGGCUGCGAUGCAUAGCCGACCUGAGAGGGUGAUCGGCCACACUGGGACUGAGACACGGCCCAGACUACUACGGGAGGCAGCAGUAGGGAAUCUUCGGCAAUGGACGCAAGUCUGACCGAGCAACGCCGCGUGAGUGAAGAAGGUUUUCGGAUCGUAAAACUCUGUUGUUAGAGAAGAACAAGGAUGAGAGUGGAAAGUUCAUCCCUUGACGGUAUCUAACCAGAAAGCCACGGCUAACUACGUG